rnacentral:lncRNA from 1 species
UUGACGUUGCGCACGCGGAUGGUAGUUCCUCUCUUGUAUUUCUUCUCGAAGGGCUUCCUCUUGAUUGCGCCUUUCGCGAUUGCGGUUGGCGAUAGCUCGACUUGAUGCUUGAAGGGCACGUUCCGCCUCAAGAGCUUGUGCUUCUCGUUGUUGUUGUUGAAGACGUUGAGCCUCUGCGUCUUGUUGCUCUUGGUGUAGGCGCGCUCGUUCUUGUUCUUGUUGGUGACGAAGACGUUGUCGUUCUUGAGCUUGAGCAAACGCCACUUGGUUUGAUUGUGGACGAGGAACUUGUUCAUCAACUUGUUCUUGGGAAUGCUUGUCGUGUAGCGGGUUGCGAGAUGCAUGAUGGUCUUGACGCGCGGCUCGUCGAAGAGUGUUCGAUGACGGUGUACUUGUGUCGGAGAAGGAGUCGUCGGAGUGGCGACUUGAGUGGCUCCGUCUUGAGUGUGAGGAAGUAGAAGGACGCCGAUUCACCAACAAGGCGUGGAUCUCGUCCAUUCUUGCAUCGUUCUCUUUCUUGUGCGCGUCGAGUUUGUUGUCGAAGUAGUCUCUUGUACGUUGCUCGGAGAGUCGCAAGUCGGUGGCGAGGUUGUCGAUGCGUUUGCUCAUUGCUUGUUGCUCUUGAUGGAGAGCUCGUUGUGCGCCAAAGAGGUGGCUCUUGGUGACGUAUGAUGACAUGUCGUCGUCUUGCUCGAUGAAGAGUGGAUUUGUAGAAGAACUUGGCCUAUCCAUCAUUUCAAACAAAUUGUGAGUGGUAGAAGGAGAAGAACUAAUACCAAUGUACCUUUGACCGAAGUUGAAGAUGAAUCAAGUUCACUCAAAUGCGGACAAUGAAAUAGCACUAUUGGUACCGAUCCUUGUCGAUUCUCACACCUACACAAGUAAAAGCUUUUGGUGGAGCUUGGUUAGGAUGGUGGCACAAAAUUGAUUGCAAUCGUUAGCUUGACUCAAAAAUGUUGAAGAAGAUUCACAAAUUCGCAUAUGCAACAAGUAGACCAAGCAAGUAGUGGUACACGGAAACACACACGCAAAUAGAUAAAUGGGAUUGUGCAAACCAAAAGUGAGCCAAAAUGUGGAAUCCACGAAAAUGCUCUUGUUGCACAAUACUAGAGAGACGCUAGCACGAUUGCACAAUAGGCGGAUACGGAGCUUGUGCACUACCUACUAGGCAAAAAUGCAACGAUCUCUAUCCCAAGUAUGCUAUAUGUAUGGUAUUUCGGUGCAAUGAUCCAAGAUGAUCUUAUAUGACAAUCUUAAUGUUGUAUGAUGCUAUGCUUGUUGCUUAUAAGCUCUUUGCUUAUCUUUCCUCUUUUCUUAAAAGCUUGAGUGGCUCUUUCUAUUUUGAGCUCUUUUCUUAUGCAAACUUGAAGAACCAAGAUAGCAAUUGUGUAUGCGAUGACAACUUUGUGACACACAAGUUGAUUCCAAGAUAUGCACCACGAUGGUAUGUAUGAUAUGGUGUAUGCAACUAAUGUGCACAAGUCACGUUGCCGGCAAUACUCAAUGGCUAGUCUCGAUGGGUAAGCAACGCAAAAGAUGGUCUAUGAUGGUUAUCAAUGCAAUUGCAAGGUAUGACAAAGAUGUCGUCGAAGUUACCAUCCGUAGCGAAGAUGAGUAGUCGACGAAAAUAAGCGUUUGUAGUUGAUGUCUCACCGCACCUAAAUAGCCGAAACACAAUAGGACACGGAAAUCUCAACUCAAAUUCUCGAACUCAAAUUCGAAUGGUAGUACGGAGGUUGUGUCGUGUGGUUUUGGCAAGUGGAAGUGGUGGUGGUUGGGGUGGGUAGGUGGUAUGUAGGUUUAGGUGGUGGUGGUGGUGGAGGGGGACUGCACAAGUGCAGUUUCGGCAGAGGAAGCCGGAUGAUCCGGGCCAGGAGCCGGAUGAUCCGGGCACGUCCGGAUGAUCCGGGUCGGAGUCCGGAUGAUCCGGGUAGGUCAACCUCGCACGGGAACUGCUCGGGAAGAACACGAAAACGGGGAGAAAUUUGACGAUUUCGGGGAUUUUGGAUGGAUUUCGAGGGGGAGAAGGUGGGGAAAAGCAAGAUCCACGAGUUACACACCGAAUCCACGGAUCAAAAACAACAAAACAUCAUCAAAACCAACAAAUCACAAAAAAAUUUGGGGGGUAUUUUUGUGGGGAUUUUCGGAUUUUAGGACGAAAACAACAAAAUCAAGCUAGAAAACACGGGGUAGGGGCUCCAAAAACAUGAUCAACAUGGCUCAUGAUACCAUAUGAUGUAGGGUGGAACCCUAUAGCAUCGAUCUUUCACGUUUGGAGUGGAUCCUACGGGAGAAACACGAAGAACGCGCGGAAGAACACGAGGAAAUCACGGGGAAGAACGAGAGAGACACUCAAUCGACAAGAGAUCAAUCACACAAGGUCUAGAUCAUCGAAGCACGAGUAACACAUGGUCCAAAAUCAACAAAUGAAAGAUACAAAG